AAUGUAAGUCAUUCUAGCAUUUCCCACAUUCAUAUUGAUGUUAAUUAAUCUAAUAGAUUAAUUAACAUCAAUAUGAAUGUGGGAAAUGCUAGAAUGACUUACAUA
rnacentral:misc_RNA from 1 species